CAAUGAAUCAUCCUUUAUUAUCAGCACACUGGAGAGGUUCCAACCAUCUCAAUGCCCUAUAGUACACCUGUCAAUCAAUGAAUCAUCCUUUAUUAUCAGCACGCUGGAGAGGUUCCAACCAACUCAAUGCCCUAUAGUACACCUGUCAAUCAAGAGCUCUGCAGGGGCAGUUCCAGCAGUUGUCUUAAAUAGGGAUAUACACAGACAAGUUAUAUUUCCAUGAUUUAGCAUAAUUAAUUCAUCAUUACCAUUUUGUUUCAUUCAUGUGACUGACCAAUACUGGCUCAUAACAUGUGACAGACCAAUACCUCACAAGGUAUCUUCUCUCUAAGCUGAGAUUUUGAAACAGAUAUCUUUCAUUCUCAAAACAAAGGUCUGGACGUACUGUCAAAAUGCAGCUACUGACAGUGAGGAUUUGUUCAGUCAGUCACACAUGCAUGAACACAGAAAACAGUCAUUAGAAAAGCACAAACAUUAAAAAAAAUUCCAGUACAAUUUAAAAUACAUUUUCAAGACUGGCCACCUGUAAUUACCUGGCACCAUCUGCAACUCUGUUUAAGAAGUUCAAUAUGUUGUCUAUUUAUGACAUUAAUGUACGCCAAUUAUGCACUUCUAUCUACAAAUAUUUAUACAGCCCAGACAGUUUACUUAAACCCUUCAAUGGACUCUUCCAGGUUAAUUCUGAAAUCCACCGAAAUAACACAAGACCUCACAUUGCCAGGUCACUGUCAGACAUGGAGGUACCAUACCCUGGAAUUCUUAUCUUCACAUUGCCAGGUCGCUGUCAGACAUGGAGGUACCAUACCCUGGAAUUCUUAUCGUCACAUUGCCACGUCGCUGUCAGACAUAGAGGUACCAUACCCUGAAAUUCUUAUCUUCACAUUGCCACGUCGCUGUCAGACAUGGAGGUACCAUACCCUGGAAUUCUUAUCUUCACAUUGCCAGGUCACUGUCAGACAUGGAGGUACCAUACCCUGGAAUUCUUAUCGUCACAUUGCCACGUCGCUGUCAGACAUAGAGGUACCAUACCCUGGAAUUCUUAUCUUCACAUUGCCAGGUCACUGUCAGACAUGGAGGUACCAUACCCUGGAAUUCUUAUCUUCACAUUGCCACGUCGCUGUCAGACAUGGAGGUACCAUACCCUGGAAUUCUUAUCUUCACAUUGCCACGUCGCUGUCAGACAUGGAGGUACCAUACCCUGGAAUUCUUAUCUUCACAUUGCCAGGUCACUGUCAGACAUGGAGGUACCAUACCCUGGAAUUCUUAUCUUCACAUUGCCACGUCGCUGUCAGACAUGGAGGUACCAUACCCUGGAAUUCUUAUCUUCACAUUGCCAGGUCACUGUCAGACAUGGAGGUACCAUACCCUGGAAUUCUUAUCUUCACAUUGCCAAAACAUCAUCAUCCCGCAAUAACUUCAAGCAAAGACUUGGGGUCAGCCUGAUGAACCAAACUACUCUGUAAUCUUCUCCAUAUAGUGUCAAUACACUCACAUGUACACACCCAAAUAAACAAAACCAUUUUUUUUUCAUGAUUACAAUUAAUUUAUACAUUUAUAAUUAGUAAGUUUUUUUAUCUGUUUUAACAAACCUUUUUUAUUUUUGUACUUAUGUAUUGUAUA